UACGUAGGGGGCAAGCGUUGUCCGGAUUUAUUGGGCGUAAAGAGCGUGUAGGCGGUUUGGUAGGUCCGUUGUGAAAACUCGAGGCUCAACCUCGAGACGCCGAUGGAAACCAUCAGACUAGAGUCCGGAAGAGGAGAGUGGAAUUCCUGGUGUAGUGGUGAAAUGCGCAGAUAUCAGGAAGAACACCCGUGGCUAAGGCGGCUCUCUAGUACGGUACUGACGCUGAGACGCGAAAGCGUGGGGAGCGAACAGG
rnacentral:rRNA from 1 species